AUGGCGCCGCCGCCGCAGUCGCCGUCGUCGUCGUCGUCUCCCUUCGAUCCUUUCAACCAAGAACCUGUUAUACGAAAGAAGAACAAUGGAGCACCUAUCAAGUUCCUUUUGCCUCUCAUAUAUGCCCCUGUUCUACCUCUAAUUCGUUUAUCGCUGCGGAGUAAACCUGUUCUGAGAGAUCGUUUGUUUACUGCUGUGUUGGUUGGGGCUUUUGUUCAUGGAGGCUAUCUGGUAACGGAUUUGUAUGAUGCUGAGAGCAAAUGA